GCUGCCGGCAGGGACAAGGGAGGCCAUCGGCCGCUGAGUACUAGCCUGGCUGCUGAGAUCCCGGCCCUCCCCCCAGCCCGGCAGCCAAAAAACCCCCAGAGGCAGCUGUGCAGGCCACACAGAGUGCCCCGCGGCUGGAACUGAACGCAGCAGGGGAUGGAAAACAUGCGGCCGGAGAUUCUGCUGUUGUGGCCCAGGCCCCCUGAGAUCCUGACACAGCGUGGCCUGAGAAUGCAUCACUGAACUUCUUCCUUGACUUCUUGCUUUGCACAAACAGAAGUACAGGAGGCAAGACUUGACACUGUCGACACAGCAGUCUCAGAAGGCUGAGAAUCACUUAUAGUGUCUGCACUACUUAAGAAAGAAAAGAACGAACUAUGAAAAACAUUCAGAGUUCAAAACACCUACACAAGGUUUGGAUCUUCUUGAGCACUAUCUACAGCUGAAAUGGCAACCUGCUGAAUAUAAAAAGAUGAAAAGAUCUAAACUUGCAAAUUUUUCUAUCCCUGCUGCUUCAAUAAAAUACCAGUUUUUUUAGCCUA